GUAACCCAUUGUUAUCUAUCGUUAUCUAUGGUCACCACUGGGGCACGGCCCGGGGCUCCAGGACGUCCUUGGAACGGCUGGGGAGACAGGUACGGGCACACCUGUGACACCUGUGACACCUGUGCGUAACCCAUUGCUAUCCAUUGUUAUCUAUCAUUAUCGAUUGUCCCCACUGAGGGACGGCCCGGGGCUCCAGGACAUCCUUGGAAUGGCUGGGGAGACAGGUACAGGCACACCUGAGACACCUGUGUGACACCUGUGUGACACCUGUGUGUAACCCACUGUUAUCCAUUGUCCCCACUGGGGCACGGCCCGGGGCUCCAGCACGUCCUUGGAACGGCUGCGGACAGGUAAAGGCACACCUGAGACACCUGUGUGACACCUGAGACACCUGUGACACCUGUGUGACACCUGUGACACCUGUGUGACACCUGUGUGACACCUGUGACACCUGUGCGUAACCCAUUGUUAUCUAUCAUUAUCUAUGGUCCCCACUGGGGCACGGCCCGGGGCUCCAGGACGUCCUUGGAACGGCUGGGGAGACAGGUACGGGCACACCUGUGACACCUGUGUGACACCUGAGACACCUGAGCAUCACCUGUGACACCUGAGAGUAACUCAUUGUUAUCUAUCAUUAUCCAUUGUCACCACUGGGGCACAGUCCGGGGCUCCAGCAUGUCCUUGGAACGGCUGGGGACAGGUAAAGGCACACCUGAGACACCUGUGUGACACCUGUGUGACACCUGUGUGACACCUGUGACACCUGUGUGUAACCCAUUGCUAUCCAUUGUCACCACUGGGGGACAGCCCGGGGCUCCAGGACAUCCUUGGAACGGCUGCGGAGACAGGUAAAGGCACACCUGUGACACCUGUGUGACACCUGUGUGACACCUGAGACACCUGUGUGACACAUACUGACACCCAUUGUUAUCCAUUGUCACCACUGGGGCACGGCCCGGGGCUCCAGGACAUCCUUGGAACGGCUGGGGAGACAGGUACGGGCACACCUGUGACACCUGUGACACCUGUGACACCUGUGUGACACCUGUGUGUAACCCAUUGUUAUCCAUUGUUAUCUAUUGUUAUCUAUCAUUAUCCAUUGUCCCCACUGAGGCACGGCCCGGGGCUCCAGGACGUCCUUGGAACGGCUGUGGGACACACCUGUGUUACCUGAGUGUCACCUGUGCCCAGGUGUGUCACCUGUCCCUCACCUGCAGAUGGGCACCACCAUGGGGUUCUGUGUGUUACCUGUGCCCAGGUGUGUCCCCAGGUGUGUCCCCAGGUGUGUCUCACCUGCAGAUGAGCACCACCAUGGGGUUCUGUGUCCCCAGGUGU
rnacentral:lncRNA from 1 species